GGCUUGAGGUGGGCGGGGCCAAGUCUCCUUGGCAACCAGGAUCCGAUGCGGGGGCGGAGCCAUCUUGGAGGCUGCGCGGGGCCAAAGGGCGGGGCCUACGUGAGCCCCUCCUUUUUUCCCCAAACCCACGAAGACCCUCCAUUUUUCGCUCUACUUCCUCAACUGCCAGUUUCUCCCUCGCUGACCCUUACUGUCCCUGCUUUCCUAGGACUCUCGCCCCUGGCCGUUUGCGCUGGCUGUGCCCUGCACCAUCCCCCAUAUUCCCGAACAUCUUUCUUCCACCUGUCUUUCAAGUCAGCUCUUUCCACCUAAUGAAGAGACUUUUGUUCGAUUUCUGUGCCUAACAGUGCCUGGCGCCAGCUGCGUCCCAUAAAUUCCCUUACAACCUAACCUGUUGCUGGUCUCGGGGCUCACUGUGCAGCACCUCUGGGUGCAGAGGGAGCAGGAACCCAAAUCCUUUCAUUUUCCAGAAUUAGCUGCAAAAGUUGCUCCAUCUCCCAGCGAGGGCCAGGAUCGACUCUGAGGUUAGUUCCAGCCUCAUUAUACGUUUCUUUAUUCAGUCAACAAACAUCCACUGAGCACUGCUCACACCAGACCCUACGUGCACACUAACACUCUGGGUCCCCAUGAAGUUGGGGACCCUAUGGUGACCCCAACUCUGCCUGGGGAGACAAGGAGGGCUUCCUGGGGUAGAGAGUGCAUUGGAACUAGGCCUUUGGAAAAUUAAUAGGAGUUGGUUGGGCUUUCUGCAGAAGGGGGCGUUGAGUUUGACAGUUGCCUAAAGUGAACGCUUUACGCCACACGUCUAGGAGGUGAUUUCAAUCCAUUCCCGCCAUAGCCACCAGAGGGCGCUCUGACAUCAUGAUUGGGAAUCCAGUGGCCUCUCUAGGCCCAAAACUGGAGGGUACAACCACACCUUCUAUGCCCAGUCCAGGUGAACUCUGGAGGAUCCUCCUGCCUCAGCCUCUUCACAUCAGUGUUCGUUAGACUGAGAUUUUUGAAGCGCCACCCACGUGGGAGCCCAGGGUGGCUGUUAAAAGAUCUUGCAGCAAGCCUGGGUUAAGGUCCCACCAAGCCAUCGACUGUGGGCUGUGAUCUCAGGGAAGUUGCUUAACCUCUCUGUGCAGGUUGCAGAGCCUGCCCCUGGGGCUUUUAGGUUGCAUCUGACUGGGGAAGAUGGGGGAAUAGUUUCCCCUCUCCUCCAUAACUAUCCCCAAAACCCUGACGUGAGCCGUGGCAUCCCUCCAAGCACACAGCGAGUAUGAGAUUCUGGAACAAAUGAGCAACUGGUGUGUAUGUCUGUUGUGCAGGCCUGGGCAGAUCUGCUGGGGGAGCAGUGGGAUCAACAGUGUUAUACAACGGGGCCAGGCGGGUGUGGUGACGCACACCUGUCAUCCCAGCCCUUGGGAAGCUCAGUGAUCUGAAGUGAAGGCACUUCUGUCAAGGGGAAUCAGCAGUGCCCACCCCACACACUCUGCCCGGUGACUUCGAGGUCGCCCUGAUGCUCCUUGCCAAGGACAGUCCUCGGCCUUGACCUCGAGCCGGCAGUGGGCUUGGCGUGACCGAGCCCUCACGACUCUUCCGUCCACAGUGCUGUGCCAGUGAAGGAAACUUCAGACCUAGCCAAGGGCUGUCUCUGUGCCGCUGUCCUGGUAUAAGUUCGGGACAGUUAGGGGGCAGCGGCACCGCUGAGCCAAAUCCCCGGCCCUCUUG